AGAGUUUGAUCAUGGCUCAGGACGAACGCUGGCGGCGUGCUUAACACAUGCAAGUCGAACGGAAAGGCCCUGCUUGCAGGGUACUCGAGUGGCGAACGGGUGAGUAACACGUGGGUGAUCUGCCUCGUACUUCGGGAUAAGCCUGGGAAACUGGGUCUAAUACCGGAUAGGACCUUCUUUUAGUGUGGAAGGUGGAAAGUUUUUCGGUACGAGAUGAGCCCGCGGCCUAUCAGCUUGUUGGUGGGGUAAUGGCCUACCAAGGCGACGACGGGUAGCCGGCCUGAGAGGGUGUACGGCCACAUUGGGACUGAGACACGGCCCAGACUCCUACGGGGGGCAGCAGUGGGGAAUAUUGCACAAUGGGCGCAAGCCUGAUGCAGCGACGCCGCGUGAGGGAUGACGGCCUUCGGGUUGUAAACCUCUUUCGCUAGGGAAGAAGCCACUUUUGUGGUGACGGUACCUGGAUAAGAAGCACCGGCUAACUACGUGCCAGCAGCCGCGGUAAUACGUAGGGUGCAAGCGUUGUCCGGAAUUACUGGGCGUAAAGAGCUCGUAGGUGGUUUGUCGCGUCGUCUGUGAAAGCCCGGGGCUUAACUCCGGGUCUGCAGGCGAUACGGGCAUAACUAGAGUGCUGUAGGGGAGACUGGAAUUCCUGGUGUAGCGGUGAAAUGCGCAGAUAUCAGGAGGAACACCGAUGGCGAAGGCAGGUCUCUGGGCAGUAACUGACGCUGAGGAGCGAAAGCAUGGGGAGCGAACAGGAUUAGAUACCCUGGUAGUCCAUGCCGUAAACGGUGGGCGCUAGGUGUGGGGAUCUUUCUACGAUUUCCGUGCCGUAGCUAACGCAUUAAGCGCCCCGCCUGGGGAGUACGGCCGCAAGGCUAAAACUCAAAGGAAUUGACGG
rnacentral:rRNA from 1 species